AAAAACUCAAUUCCUGGAUUUCCGUGUCUAACGUUUGACCGUUUGUCUUAUUUAAAAAAAUAUGAAAAAAUUUAAAAAGAUAAGUCAUACAUAAAGUAUUAUUCGUGCUUUAUCAUCUAACAAUAAUAAAAAUAUUAAUCAUAAAAUAAUUUUAUAUAAAAUGGACGGUUAAACGUUGAGCAUGGAAACCAAACAAUUCAGUUUUU
rnacentral:pre_miRNA from 1 species